rnacentral:rRNA from 1 species
AGAGUUUGAUCCUGGCUCAGAAUCAACGCUGGCGGCGCCUUAACACAUGCAAGUCGAACGAGAAAGGGGAGCAAUCCCUGAGUAAAGUGGCGUACGGGUGAGUAACACGUGGGUAAUCUACCUUUUGGUGGGGAAUAACGCUGGGAAACCGGCGCUAAUACCGCAUGAGCCUCCAUUGACUAAAUGGAAGGGAAAAGAGAAAUCUGCCGAAAGAGGAGCCCGCGGCUGAUUAGCUAGUUGGUGAGGUAAAGGCUCACCAAGGCUAUGAUCGGUAGCCGGCCUGAGAGGGCACACGGCCACACUGGCACUGAAACACGGGCCAGACUCCUACGGGAGGCAGCAGUGGGGAAUCUUGCACAAUGGGGGAAACCCUGAUGCAGCGACGCCGCGUGAGUGAUGACGCCCUUCGGGGUGUAAAGCUCUCUCGGCAGGGACGAUAAUGACGGUACCUGAAGAAGAAGCUGCGGCUAACUACGUGCCAGCAGCCGCGGUAAUACGUAGGCAGCGAGCGUUGUUCGGAGUUACUGGGCGUAAAGAGUGCGUAGGCGGUUUUCUAAGUUUGGUGUGAAAUCUCCCGGCUCAACUGGGAGGGUGCGCCGAAGACUGGAAGGCUAGAGUGUGGGAGAGGUAAGCGGAAUUCCUGGUGUAGCGGUGAAAUGCGUAGAUAUCGGAGGAACACCUGCGGUGUAGACGGCUUACUGGACCACCACUGACGCUGAGGCACGAAAGCGUGGGUAGCAAACAGGAUUAGAUACCCUAGUAGUCC